rnacentral:piRNA from 1 species
AGCACCGUUAGUGGAUCGGGAGGAUCCGA